rnacentral:rRNA from 1 species
UACAGAGGUCCCAAGCGUUGUUCGGAAUCACUGGGCGUAAAGGGUGCGUAGGCGGGUCUUUAAGUCAGGGGUGAAAUCCUGGAGCUCAACUCCAGAACUGCCUUUGAUACUGAGGAUCUUGAGUUCGGGAGAGGUGAGUGGAACUGCGAGUGUAGAGGUGAAAUUCGUAGAUAUUCGCAGGAACACCAGUGGCGAAGGCGGCUCACUGGCCCGAUACUGACGCUGAGACACGAAAGCGUGGGGAGCAAACAGG